UGAAAUCUUAAAGUGUAUGAGUGAGAUUCUUUUACUUUCUGUCGUUGAUGUUCAUCAUCAUCCUCAUUGUUGCCUGGACCAGUACCUGAAGAAGCCAUUAGGGGACAAGAGAGGUUACUUCCUUGUGAUUUGGAGAAUUCACCUCUGCUUCUACCAACAACAGAUGGUAACAAUCAUGAUUGAUGCCAAACCUCAGCAGACAUGAUUCCAUGGUGGCAGUGGAUGCUGUCCCCUGUCUGGCCGAAACCGCUGCUGGCUUCGAUAAACACACCAUCAUCAGUUAUUCCAACAGUCUCAAUAAGAGAUUGCUUUGGGGGAUCCUUGGUGGGUAUAAAUACGGAGCUCAGUGGGUUGUCUGACAUCCCUUUACCCACGUGUUCGUUGUGAAAAACUAUAGAAAUGUUAUGCUUCUUAAGUUCACUCCUUGGUCCAAUACCGCUGAUCAAUAACAGCUGGGGGCUUCCAAUUGCACCGGCAGAGACAAUAAUCUCGCUGCCUCUCUUUUGGCUGA